GAUGAACGCUGGCGGCGUGCCUAAUACAUGCAAGUCGGGCGAACAGACGAGGAGCUUGCUCCUCUGACGUUAGCGGCGGACGGGUGAGUAACACGUGGAUAACCUACCUAUAAGACUGGGAUAACUUCGGGAAACCGGAGCUAAUACCGGAUAAUAUAUUGAACCGCAUGGUUCAAUAGUGAAAGACGGUUUUGCUGUCACUUAUAGAUGGAUCCGCGCCGCAUUAGCUAGUUGGUAAGGUAACGGCUUACCAAGGCAACGAUGCGUAGCCGACCUGAGAGGGUGAUCGGCCACACUGGAACUGAGACACGGUCCAGACUCCUACGGGAGGCAGCAGUAGGGAAUCUUCCGCAAUGGGCGAAAGCCUGACGGAGCAACGCCGCGUGAGUGAUGAAGGUCUUCGGAUCGUAAAACUCUGUUAUUAGGGAAGAACAAAUGUGUAAGUAACUAUGCACGUCUUGACGGCACCUAAUCAGAAAGCCACGGCUAACUACGUG
rnacentral:rRNA from 1 species